rnacentral:misc_RNA from 1 species
UAAUUACUCGCACAUCAUUAAUAAAG